rnacentral:tRNA from 1 species
UACGCUGUUAGCUCAGCAGGUUAGAGCAAUUGUCUUCUAAGCAAUCGGUCACUGGUUCGAUUCCAGUCAGAGGAGCCA